GAUAGGUCGCAGGUCGAAGGCCCGUAAAGGCUGUAGCCGAGCGAUACUAAUAAGCCGUGAGGCUUGACCUUAAAA
rnacentral:rRNA from 1 species